rnacentral:rRNA from 1 species
UGCUCCUACGGGACGUAGCAGUGGGGAAUAUUGCACAAUGGGGGAAACCCCGAUGCAGCGACGCCGCGUGAGUGAAGAAGUAUUUCGGUACGUAAAGCUCUAUCAGCAGGGAAGAAAAAAAGUCCUUUGGACUCUGGACGGUACCUGACUAAGAAGCCCCGGCUAACUACGUGCCAGCAGCCGCGGUAAUACGUAGGGGGCAAGCGUUAUCCGGAUUUACUGGGUGUAAAGGG